CAGGAUUUGAGUUUUUAAAAGUGGGGCGGAGCCCAGUGUUUGGUCUGGGAGAGCAUGUUGUGGACAGGGAAGUUCAGGCCUGGCUGCUGCAGUUUCUGGAUGCCUCUAAUCUUUGAAAGAUUAGGUUUGAUGGGCUUACAAACAGGAAGAAAAAAACUGAGACCAGGCCCCUUUUUAAUAGUGAGCUACUACUAGGCCUCUGGCCCAAAGAACCUUGUAGUUGAUCUGUUGGAUCUCCUUUUAUGUGGCAGGAGGAAUUGUAGUCUGUUCCACCACAUCCAAAGGAAUGCUCAACAUCUAAACCUGCUAGAGACUGACUCAGUCUUUUGAUUCCUGGACUGGUUACUGGUGAAACAGAACUGGACUUUUACUGCUUGUUAUAGUCAGGAUCUUUAUUAGCAUAUGGACAUUUUUUAAAGAAUUUGAUCGUCAACUUAUUGGAAAUGUGUGUGGUUAAUGUAAAAUUAAACCAGUUAUCUAGUGAUGAAAGCUUAUCCUGUAUAUAUUGUAAAUCAU